rnacentral:rRNA from 1 species
GACGAACGCUGGCGGCGUGCCUAAUACAUGCAAGUAGAACGCUGAAGAGAGGAGCUUGCUCUUCUUGGAUGAGUUGCGAACGGGUGAGUAACGCGUAGGUAACCUGCCUUGUAGCGGGGGAUAACUAUUGGAAACGAUAGCUAAUACCGCAUAAUAAUGUAUGACACAUGGCAUUAUUUUGAAAGGGGCAAUUGCUGCACUACAAGAUGGACCUCCGUUGUAUUAGCUAGUAGGUGAGGGAAUGGCUCACCUAGGGGACGAUAGAUAGCCCACCUGAGAGGGUGGUCGGCCCAACUGGGAACGGGACACGGCCCCGACUCCUACGGGAGGCCGCAGUAGGGAAUCUUCGGCAAUGGGGGCAACCCUGACCGAGCAAAGCCGCGUGAGUUGAGAAGGUUUUCCGAUCGUAAAGCUCUGUUUUAAGUCAAGAACGGGUGUGAGAGUGGACAGUUCACACUGUGACGGUAGUUUACCAGAAAGCGACGGCUAACUACGUG